GUGCACCUCAGCUCUUUGUGGGCGACUGCUGACAGAAAUCUGCCGAGUCCGGAAGCGAAAACGCAGGCCUCAUAACUGACGUGUCUCCAAGCGCACGGUGCUAAAGAAUCACCCGAAUCUGUCCUUUGCUAGUGCUUAGGAGCAGGGUGACGAGUGAAAACAGGCAACGGCUGACAGCAUCAACAUUUCAACUCAUUUGCAAAUGGCAGUUAGUGAACAGAUUAUUCAAAGUUAUUACGUAACUGAUGCUGUAUGCUGACAAGAGAAAAUAAAGCUUUCCAGUAGCUUUAAUGAAGCCUGGAUUAACAGUGAAUUGAAAGACAUUUUGAAAUCCAGUAUCAUGAUGUGAUUAAAAAGGAAUAUGGAGAUUUCUGCAAUAAGAAGUAGAUCUACUACAUGGCAAAAAAAAUAAAAAUAAAAACAAAAAAUUGUUUAAAAACCAACUACUCUGAAAGCCAAUUUCAGCAAUCCCCCUUUCCAUAAUGAUCAUCAGUUCUCCGCCUGUCUUUUCUUCCUUCAACAUACAAACAGAAGAUAAGCUUUUAGGUCAGUCUGGACUGUUCCAGUUGAGAAGGAGCAACCUACUGACCAGCCAGGCCAUGGCAGGUGUUAGUGCUGACAACAGGGCUUCUUAAAAAGAAACCUUAAUUAGCACUGAAUUCCCCAAAGGACUGCUUUCCCAGUAGACUAUGAAUACAUUAUUUCAUUAUAUAAUUAAAUACUUACAGAUUUAUGCAAUCUUAAAACACGUAGGAGAUUCUCAGGCACAUCCGCAUAGGAGGUACAAGGAGCCCUAAACUCCUUUUUGCCUCUGCUCAGAGCUGUGUGUAUCUGAGCCGUAAUGGGGAGGUGUAUAUAGCUGCUUAAUGCGUGAAAUUGUGUCUUUGCCAUAUGCUCCUCUCCACUUCUGACCUGGGAUUAGUUCAGGUGGAGAGCGUCAGAUUGUGCUUCCACCUACCCUGUGAGUUGUGAGUGGCAGGAGAAAGGGGAAAGUGGCAUAUCUGGAGUAGUUCCGAUUGACUGAGUUUGAGGUUCAUUAAUUCCCCCCAAGUAUUAGUGAAUGUUUACAAUUUGAAGUGCUUUGGAAAUUUCAGUCUGGUAUUUUCUCUUUUAAAAAUGAACUUAUUUUACUUUGAAAAUCUUAGCAUGCUAGAUUAAAGGGAAACAGGACUAAAGUGAAUGAAAUCUGUCUGUGCUGUUACGCUUUUCUCAAAAGUGGCCGGUUCCCAAAACUUUACUGUAAGUGGAAACCUUCAAAAAAUAUGUAUAAAUCUUUGCUAACUCCUCUCCCAGGUUGAUCUCCUUUUUGCCUGAAGCAUGGAAAUUGAUUAUCUUUAAUAUGAUUUUACUUUACAUUAUAACAGGUUAGAAUAGGGAAUGUGAAAUAUCCAGACUUUCUUAAAACCAGGCAUUUGGGGCUUUGGCAGUGAAUCCACAAGUUGUUUGUCUGCAAUAGAAAGAAAUGUUUCUGUACACUGGUUCAAACUGUACUGUGUUUUGACUUAAUUGUCAUAUUCUUCUGUUAGCAAAUGAGGUAAAACGAGUAUUCCUUAGCAGUUUUCACUCUGCACCCAGAAUUAUGAACAUGUUACUCAAAUCUACACUAAGCCUUCUGCUGACCAGAUUUUAAUCUUUAUUAUUAAUGCUGUUAUAAUUCCAACUACUGAACUUUUGAAUUCCUUCCCAGUCUGUCCUUUAAUGGGAAAGAGACUGAGAAGACUAUUUCUAAUUAGGUAUAUCACAGAUCAACGACAUCAGUGUCAGCAGAAGUUAUAACCCCCCUUUUUUAUACAUUUAGGCCUGUUCCUCCUGUUGGUGUAUCUUGUCAGACUUCCUUAUUCAAUUAUCUAUAAGGGCCACUAGGUCUUAAUUUUCUUUGCCACAUCCAGUCUAGUUCACUAACACAACAGCUAAUGGGGAAAUUUUCAUAACACUGAUAUUGCAAGAAUGUAAAGGAUUUCUAAAAUUCUUUUCAAAUCUUGUCCCAUGUCAUUGUUUUUUGUUCAAGGCGUUAUCUUUCAAUUAUUUACAUUAUUUGUUACUAAGUUUGCUGCUUAUAACGUAUUGCUCACUUAACGUGGUGUUUUCAGGUACCGAGUGAUAUUUACCCCAAGCUAAAACAACUUAAAGUUCCCAAUGGAUGCACAAAAAAUGUGAUUUGUUGUCAGGGUAAAACAAAGCUCAGACUAAUGUAAAAACUUCAGGGUCACAGAAUGUGAUGGGAUGGA